UUCUACCGUCCGUCUCUAUCUCCCCUCCGGCAACCGGCCGGAGCCGUUCCCCGCUCCGUAAAAGAGGACGGAGACCAGAGCCGUUCUCGCAGUGGCGGAAUCCAAAAUCGUCAACUCGACGACCCAAACAUUGCCGCCCGGGCGAACUGGGAUCGCAGACCCGUCCUGACUCGGCUUAAUUUCUUCUCUGGUCGGCAUGGGGCUGUGGUCAUUUCUUGAGGGUGUCCUGCUUAUUGCUAACGCUUUGGCAAUAUUAAAUGAAGACCGUUUCCUUUCUCCCAGAGGAUGGAGCUUCGCUGACGCUAGAGGCGUGCAGGGAGCAAACACCUUCAAAGGACAGAUGAUUGGCCUCAUAUACGCAGCUCAAUACAUGAGAUUUCCAUUGAUCCUUCUUAAUGGAAUCACUAUACUUGUGAAGUUUGUUUCAUUCUGACAGUGGGAAGUGGUACGCUAUGCAGCUCUUCUUCGGUUUGCUUCCUUGAAGAUUGAGAUAUUUGCACUCAAACCAGGCUUUAUGUAUAUCUUCUCGUGAUUCACCCCUUCUUCCAAUAGUCUUCUGUUGAUGGUUGUAUAGCUGUGCCUUGUAUAUGCACACUGCUGAGAUGUGCAGUUGUGCUCAGCUAGUAAUUUAUUGGUUAUCCGCAACACACUAGACGGUAUGUGCCUAACUGUGAUCUUUCAUUGUUCUUUUGUAUGUACAUGAUGUAUUUGCAUUUGUCCACUGUAAUUUUUUCUUGUUAUUCCUGAUAUUUUUUUGCAUGAUGGGAUUUUUAUUAUCAAGCAAUGGAGCACUCAUGUUUCCAUCUUCAUAGAAGCAUCAGAGAAGUUCUUAUGUGUAUGAUUUAGAGUGCCUCUCAUAAACUAGACACUGUAUAGUAUUAUAUGGUUGGGUGCCACCACUUCUAUGAUAGAGUAUAUUUCAUUAGUUAUUAUUGGGUUUUUUUUAUCAUAUGUGUUCAAUGUCAAACGUGGGUGUCAUUUAUUGGACGUCGGAGUGAUUGCUCUGAAUAAAGGUUAUGGCCAAUUCCUAUUGUG
rnacentral:rRNA from 1 species